CGAAUGGGUGAGUAACACGUGCUUAAUNUACCUUUUAGAUUGGAAUACCCAUUGGAAACAAUGGCUAAUGCCGGAUACGCAUGGAACCGCAUGGUUCCGUUGUGAAAGGCGCUGCAAGGCGCCACUAAAAGAUGAGGGUGCGGAACAUUAGUUAGUUGGUGAGGUAAUGGCCCACCAAGACUAUGAUGUUUAGCCGGGUCGAGAGACUGAACGGCCACAUUGGGACUGAGAUACGGCCCAAACUCCUACGGGAGGCAGCAGGG
rnacentral:rRNA from 1 species